rnacentral:rRNA from 1 species
GGCAGCAGCUCAAAUUUGAAAUCUGGGGCCCUCCGGCCUCCGAGUUGUAAUUUGGAGAGGCAUCUUCGGGGAGGGGGCGCUGGCCCAUGUUCCUUGGAACAGGACGUCGCAGAGGGUGAGAAUCCCGUGCCAGGCCGGCUGCCUCCGCCCCGGUGAAGGGCCUUCGACGAGUCGAGUUGUUUGGGAAUGCAGCUCCAAGUGGGUGGUAAAUUUCAUCUAAAGCUAAAUACCGGCGGGAGACCGAUAGCGCACAAGUAGAGUGAUCGAAAGAUGAAAAGCACUUUGAAAAUAGAGUCAAAAAGUACGUGAAAUUGUUGAAAGGGAAGCGCUUGAGGCCAGACUCGGACCCGGGCAAACAUCGCGCCCCCAGGGGCCGUGCAAUUGCCUGGGGCCGGGCCAGCAUCGGUCGGCGUGGCGGGACAAAGGCGCGGGGAAUGUGGCUCCCCUCGGGGAGUGUUAUCAGGCCCGCGCCCAAUGCCGCCUACGCCGACUGAGGACCGCGCCGCCCGGCUAGGAUGCUGGCUUAAUGGCCUUCAGCGACCCGUCUUGAAACACGGA